CACAGUGAUCUCAUCUCGUCCUGGAAACUAAGCAAGAUUGGAUCUGGUUAGUAUUUGGAUGGGAGACCACCAGGAAAUUUCAGGAGUCUCUGGGG
rnacentral:rRNA from 1 species